rnacentral:piRNA from 1 species
UUAUUUUUCUGGAAUUGCUUC